ACAUGCCUACAACAUAGCGUUAAUGCACUAGAUCCCAUUAUAAAUCCGCAGUCAAGCGUGCUUAGGAUAGAGUAGUACUGGGAUGGGUGACCGCCCAGGAAGUCCUAGUGUUUUUCAUGCC
rfam:Picea glauca, whole genome shotgun sequence.